rnacentral:rRNA from 1 species
CAGGCCUAACACAUGCAAGUCGCACGAGAAAGGGGAGCAAUCCCUGAGUAAAGUGGCGCACGGGUGAGUAACACGUGAAUCAUCUACCUCCGAGUGGGGAAUAACCUAGAGAAAUCUGGGCUAAUACCGCAUAACACUUACGAGUCAAAGCAGCAAUGCGCUUGGAGAGGAGUUCGCGGCCGAUUAGCUAGUUGGCGGGGUAAUGGCCCACCAAGACAGUGAUCGAUAUCCGGCCUGAGAGGGCGCACGGACACACUGGAACUGAAACACGGUCCAGACUCCUACGGGAGGCAGCAGUGGGGAAUUUUGCGCAAUGGGGGAAACCCUGACGCAGCAACGCCGCGUGGAGGAUGAAGUACUUCGGUACGUAAACUCCUUUCGAUCGGGACGAUAAUGACGGUACCGGAAGAAGAAGCCCCGGCUAACUUCGUGCCAGCAGCCGCGGUAAUAC